rnacentral:lncRNA from 1 species
CCAAGGAUUGUCCUACAAUCCCUGCUUUUCAAGAAGUGUUGCAUGAUCAAGCAAAUUUCACCAAUACUUAUAAAAGACCAUUUCCAGAAACAUAUAAUCCUAAUUGGCGAAACCAUCCUAACUUUAGCUGGAGACAUGGACCCACUGCCAAUGAAUCUCAAGGAAAUUCUGUUCCUACUCCUUAUGUGCCACCACAUAGGAAAUCCCUUGAAGAUACUUUGCAAACCUUCAUGCAAGGGCAGAC